UACGUAGGCAGCAAGCGUUGUUCGGAGUUACUGGGCGUAAAGGGUGUGUAGGCGGUUCUUUAAGUUUGGUGUGAAAUCUCCCGGCUCAACCGGGAGGGUGCGCCGAAUACUGAGGGACUAGAGUGUGGGAGAGGAAAGUGGAAUUCCUGGUGUAGCGGUGAGAUGCGUAGAUAUCAGGGGGAACACCGGUGGUGUAGACGGCUUUCUGGACCAUAACUGACGCUGAGACACGAAAGCGUGGGUAGCAAACAGG
rnacentral:rRNA from 1 species